rnacentral:lncRNA from 1 species
UUUUUUUUUUUUUUUUUUUUGAGAUAGUCUCGCUCUGUCCCCCAGGCUGGAGUGCAGUGGCGUGAUCUUGGCUCAUUGCAACCUCUGCUCCCAGGUUCACGUCAUUCUCCUGCCUCAGCCUCCCGAGUAGCUGGGACUACAGGUGCCCGCCAACACACAGGGCUAAUUUUUUUGUAUUUUUGGUAGAGAUGGGGUUUCACCGUCUUAGCCAGGAUGGUCUCGAUCUCUUGACCUCGUGAUCCGCCCGCCUCGACCUCCCUAAGUGCUGGGAUUCCAGGCGUGAGUCACCGCGCCCGGCCAUUCUGCAACAAUUAGUUAUUGGUUUCAAACAAAUGCUAACAGAUUUAUCAAUUGGUUUCUCAUUUAUCAAAAUUAUUGAUUAACACCGUUCUUUCACCCAGGAAUCAUCCUAUUUUGUGUGGUAUUUUCCUUUGAAGGUCUUUUUAGGUCUAACUGAAACAUUUAAAGCAUAAAAUAACUGACAUUCUCAAUAAAAAAAUAAACGUCUCUCAUUCACAAAUCCACUUAAGAUGCUCCAGAAUAUAUUCUUGGGAAUGUUUUUUAAAAGCUUCUUUCAGGAAUCAGUCAACAUUAUUUACUGAGCACCUAAUUUGUACACAGCCUUGUAAAUAAUUACGAGAGAAGUGUGUCAGAAUCUCAGUUAUAACAUUCACUAGCUGGUGACUUUCAGUUCGCCACAUAAAUGCUUAGAGCUUUAAGAGUUUUGUGUUUAAAAUGGGAAUAAUGCCAAAACUUUGUGUGAUCAGCCUAGGGAUUAAUAAAUAAAGAUGCUCCUAGCCUGGAACUUAACAUGUGUUUAAAUAUAUGACAAACUUUAUUUCCUCUUGUGUGUAAUUCCUCCCCCACAAAAACAACAAAGAACCAUCAUUAGUAACGAGGAAGCUUCACUUCUACCUGUGACAACAAAUUAAAAAAUAUAAGACACCAUAUGGUGAAGUAUUAAACUGCAGAAUAUAACAAUUAAAAUAGAGCUUCAAACAUAGGCAAUGGCUAAAGAGGUUAAUGUUAUACCGGAGAAAUUGACCCGCCUUUCAAAGAAUGGGUAUGAUUUUACUGGCUUUUUCUCGGGUUCACGCUUAAGUUCAAUGUCCUUAGCAUAACAUGCAAGAACUUUUCUCUCUGAAUCCUGGCCACCCAACUGGCAUAAUCCCCUUUUUUGUGUUUAUACUACCCCUGGAUCUUGCCAUAUUUGCUGUUAUAACAACAUCCUAGACAUCAACGUUGUGAAUUUCAAUUAGUAUAUUGAUACAAUCACCGUAUAUUGUAGUCUGCAGC